AAUGCAAACCCUGUGAAGGGUUCCCGGCGACGGGAUCAAAAGGGAAGCCGGUGCGCGGGCAGGAUCGUCAGGAUCCCCACCCGCAAGACCGGCGCUGUCCCCGCAACUGUGACCGGAUAGCGGCCACCCCGAUUGCGCCACUGGGUCUCGGCCUGGGAAGGCGGGGUGGCAGCGACGACCCGGAAGCCAGGAGACCUGCCCGUCACGGUCGAUCCACU
rnacentral:ncRNA from 2 species